GACGAACGCUGGCGGCGUGCUUAACACAUGCAAGUCGAACGAAAAGACGGAAAGAGCUUGCUCUUUUCAAGAAUUGAGUGGCAAACGGGUGAGUAACACGUAAACAACCUGCCUUCAGGAUGGGGCAACAGACGGAAACGACUGUUAAUACCGAAUAAGUUCCAAGAGCCGCAUGGCCCAUGGAAGAAAAGGUGGCCUCUACCUGCAAGCUAUCGCCUGAAGAGGGGUUUGCGUCUGAUUAGCUGGUUGGAGGGGUAACGGCCCACCAAGGCGACGAUCAGUAGCCGGUCUGAGGGGAUGAACGGCCACACUGGAACUGAGACACGGUCCAGACUCCUACGGGAGGCAGCAGUGGGGAAUCUUCCGCAAUGGGCGAAAGCCUGACGGAGCAACGCCGCGUGAGUGAUGACGGCCUUCGGGUUGUAAAACUCUGUGAUCCGGGACGAAAAGGCAGAGUGCGAAGAACAAACUGCAUUGACGGUACCGGAAAAGCAAGCCCGGGG
rnacentral:rRNA from 1 species